AGGAUCAUUACUGAGUUAGGGUCUUCCAGGCCCGACCUCCAANNNNNUGCCUACCUUACCUCUUGUUGCUUCGGCCGGCCCGUNNNCCCUAGAAAUAGGGGUCGACCGCCGGAGGGCUCACACCCUCUGGCCCGCGCCGGCCGAUGGCCCUCAACCAAAACUCUUGUUCAAUCGUGAAUUGUCUGAGUAUACAAAACAAAAUAAACCAAAAACUUUCAACAACGGAUCUCUUGGUUCUGGCAUCGAUGAAGAACGCAGCGAAAUGCGAUAAGUAAUGCGAAUUGCAGAAUCCGUGAGUCAUCGAAUCUUUGAACGCACAUUGCGCCCCUUGGUUAUUCCGAAGGGCAUGCCUGUUCGAGCGUCAUUAUCACCCCUCAAGCCCUGGCUUGGUGUUGGACUUUAGUUAUAGCUUUUGCCUAUCAACUGGUCUCAAAGAUAGUGACGGCGCUCCAGAGGGAACCGGGUACGAGGAGCUUUUUACUAAGCAUGUAUCUGGGAAGACUCUGAUGGGCGACGGUCUUGUUAUACAUUUACCUAAGUGUUGACCUCGGAUCAGGUAGGAAUACCCGCUGAACUUAAGCAUAUCAAUAAGCGGAGGAAAAGAAACCAACAGGGAUUGCCUCAGUAACGGCGAGUGAAGCGGCAACAGCUCAAAUUUAAAAUCUGGCUUCUCGGAGCCCGAGUUGUAAUUUGUAGAGGAUGUUUCGGGUACCGCUCCGGCUUAAUUUUCUUGGAACAGAAUGUCAGAGAGGGUGAGAAUCCCGUCUGGAGUCGCGGUAGGGCCUAUGUGAAACUCCUUCGACGAGUCGAGUUGUUUGGGAAUGCAGCUCAAAAUGGGUGGUAAAUUUCAUCUAAAGCUAAAUAUUGGCCAGAGACCGAUAGCGCACAAGUAGAGUGAUCGAAAGAUGAAAAGCACUUUGAAAAGAGAGUUAAACAGUAUGUGAAAUUGUUGAAAGGGAAGCGCUGGCAACCANACUUGCGUGUAGGGGUUCCCCCUCGCUUCUGCGUGGGUUACUCCCCUAUAUCCAGGCCAACAUCGGUUNNGGCNUCNGUCAAAGGCCUUGGGAAUGUAUCUUCCUCCGGGNNNNCUUAUAGCCCAGGGUGUCAUGCGGCCUGCCGGGACCGAGGAACGCG
rnacentral:rRNA from 1 species